rnacentral:rRNA from 1 species
AUUGAACGCUGGCGGCAGGCCUAACUCAUGCAAGUCUCGCGGAGCGGCGGAAGGGUGAGUAAUGCCUAGGAAUCUGCCUGGUAGUGGGGGAUAACGUCCGGUAACGGGCGCUAAUACCGCAUACUAUCAGAUGAGCCUAGGUCGGAUUAGCGAGUUGGUGGGGUAAAGGCCUACCAAGGCGAAGAUCCGUACCUGGUCUGAGAGGAUGAUCAGUCACAAGGGAACUGAGACACGGUCCAGACUCCUACGGGAGGCAGAAGUGGGGAAUAGUGGAAAAUGGGCGAAAGCCUGAUCCAGCCAUGCCGCGUGUGUGAAGAAGGUUUUCGGAUUGUAAAGCACUUUAAGUUGGGAGGCGUUACCAACAGAAUAAGCACCGGAUAACUUCGUGCCAGCCGCCGAGGUAAUAC